rnacentral:rRNA from 1 species
UACGGAGGGUGCAAACGUUGUUCGGAAUUACUGGGCGUAAAGCGUGUGUAGGCGGCUUUGCAAGUCGGAUGUGAAAGCCCCGGGCUCAACCCGGGAAGUGCACUCGAUACUGCAGGGCUAGAGUGUCGGAGAGGUUGGUGGAAUUCUAGGUGUAGAGGUGAAAUUCGUAGAUAUCUAGAGGAACACCGGUGGCGAAGGCGGCCAACUGGACGAACACUGACGCUGAGACACGAAAGCGUGGGGAGCAAACAGG